rnacentral:rRNA from 1 species
AUUGAACGCUGGCGGCAGGCCUAACACAUGCAAGUCGGGCGAGCCGCGGACGGGUGAGUAAUGUAUGGGGCUCUGCCUGCUGGAGGGGGAUAACUACUGGAACCGGUAGCUAAUACCGCAUACCAUCAGAUGAACCCAUAUGGGAUUAGCUUGUAGGUAAGGUAACGGCUUACCUCGGCGCCGAUCCCUAGCUGGUCUGAGAGGAUGAUCAGCGACACUGGGAAGUAUACACGGGCCAGACUCCUACGGGAGGCAGCAGUGGGGACUAUUGCACAUAGGGCGCAAGCGUGAUGCAGCCAUGCCGCGUGUAUGAAGAGGGCCAUCGGGUUGUAAAGGACUUUCAGUCGGGAGGCGUUACCGGCAGAAGAAGCACCGGCUAACUCCGUGCCAGCAGCCGCGGUAAUAC